UCAAACUUGGUCAUUUAGAGGAAGUAAAAGUCGUAACAAGGUUUCCGUAGGUGAACCUGCGGAAGGAUCAUUAUUGAAUAAAUUUGGUUUUAGGUUGUUGCUGGCUCUUGUAAUUGGGAGCAUGUGCACGCUUAUUCCAAUUUUUGUAACCCAACCUGUGCACAAUUAUAUAGAUUUAAAUCAUCUUCAGGCUUUUCAAUGCUUGGUCAAAAAAUUGCUGUGGGUGAUACCAGCUCUUUUUGUAUUUUUUUAAAUCUAUGUUUUAUUUUAUACUCCAUUUAAAAGUGUAAGAAUGUUGACUAUUCAUAUACAACUUUCAACAACGGAUCUCUUGGCUCUUGCAUCGAUGAAGAACGCAGC
rnacentral:misc_RNA from 1 species